UACGUAGGGGGCAAGCGUUGUCCGGAUUUAUUGGGCGUAAAGAGCGUGUAGGCGGCCAGACAGGUCCGUUGUGAAAACUCGAGGCUCAACCUCGAGACGCCGAUGGAAACCGUUUGGCUAGAGUCCGGAAGAGGAGAGUGGAAUUCCUGGUGUAGCGGUGAAAUGCGCAGAUAUCAGGAAGAACACCCGUGGCUAAGGCGGCUCUCUAGUACGGUACUGACGCUGAGACGCGAAAGCGUGGGGAG
rnacentral:rRNA from 1 species